GAGGUUGUAGCUCAGUGAUAGAGUGCUUGCCUUGCAAGCAUGAGGCACUGGGUUUGAUCCUCAGCACCACA
rfam:Ictidomys tridecemlineatus contig044479, whole genome shotgun sequence.